GGAAACUCCCUCAGGAGUGAGAGAUCUGAGAGCUCUCAGCCCCCAGGGCCUCCAGGCAGGAUUAUUGACUCCACGCUGUGGGAAUUCACCUCCUGAACACCUGCACCAGGUGUCCAGGGCAGAUGAAGGGCUGGGACUGGAGCAGGAGCCGGGAUUAACACCGAGACCAUCCUAGACAGCUCCGAUUCCCACCGGAGCGUGGAUCCGGCCAAGGAAG